CCAUGAAAAACCCAGAAAAUGCAUGCUGGAAGACGCGUAUGACGUCAAAAACGUCACAGGGUAUAAAUACCAAGGCCCUCCCCUUCCAGUUCAUUCCUGGAUUUGUUCUGAGGUAUUUUGUCUGAAGAGUGGCCGUCGAGGAAUUUGAAUACCUAAUAAAAACGUUUUCUUCAAUUAAUUGACAUUUCAUUCUAGUUUUGCCUCCAGUUUGUUCGUCGGAAUAGCUUUAUUUUAGCUGCCACAACCCCGCCCAAACAUUGCCAGUAGAAUGGCCUGUACUGAAGAACUCAGUGACUUUCAACGUGGCACCGUCAUAGGAUGCCACCUUUCCAACAAGUCAGUAAGUCAAAUUUCUGCUCAGCUAGAACUGCCCAGGUCAACUGUGAGUGCUGUUAUUGUGGAGUGGAAACGUCUGGGAGCAACAACUGCUGAGCCUCGAAGUGGUAAGCCACACAAGCUCACAGAACGGGACCGGCAAGUGCUGUAGCGUGAAGAUAUUGUCUGUCCUCUGCAACACACUGAGUUCCAAACUGCAUCUGAAAGCAACGUCAGCACGUAUGUUUGUUGGGAGCAGCGUCUGCUGGAGUGGUGUAAGCCAGAUAGACGGGGACUUUGAGGACUACAAACAGGUUCUGGAAACACUGGGGGAGACCCUGGUCCACUAGGUCAAAGAGUGACCUACCUACUGCAGAACCGGGGCUCUAUUGGCACUCUAUUCCCUGUACUGCACCAUUUUUCACCAGAGCACUAUGGGCCCUGGUCAAAUGUACUGCACUAUGUAGGGAAUAGGGUACCAUUUUGAACAGGCCCAGGAGGAAAUAGAAAUGUAAUGCAAAAUAACCUACCACUGAAGCUGGCUAUGUCAUUAGCUCAGUGCAUCUCGAUAGUCUAACGUGGCUUUGUUUUCUUGUCUCGCCUGAUCGUUCACCACUUAUUUGAAUAAGCAUCAUGGCUUAAGUCUCUCCCAAAUCAGUUUAUUUGAAGAAAGGUGUGGCGAGGAAGCCACGUUAAGAGUAUUGAGAAUACACCCCUGGUGUACUGCAGUAUCCUCUCGGCCUAUGAGAUGCAUACAUUUUCUUGAGUCCAAUUUGCCACCCCCUCCACACAACUGUAUAUCUGAAAAGAUAGGGUGUGAUUUGGAAUUCAGAAUUUGACUGGACAAGUGGGCAUGUCUCACCCAGGUGACAAUGGGACAGAAAUAGCAACAUGCUGAAGUAUUUCUAUUAUAGAGGAAAUGGCAAUACAUUACCAGUGGAUCCACACAUGUAGAAACCAAGCUCUUAUUACCUGGGAAUAAACAUGUUGACACCUGUAUGAUCAUAGAAUUUACUAAAGACAAAAAGGAAAUUAAAUAAAUGGAUUUUACAAUGUC